GGCCCAAUCAAGAUUAUCUGCUGCAAUCUCACUCUUGCUCCAUUUUGGCUGGUGGGGUUCAUCUGACUCGACGCACUGGGAUCGCAUCUGUUCCAAUACCCUUUGGACACUGAAGGUGGUGGUGGGUUCACUGGAUAAUUUGGAGCAGCUACUGAAGAAUCUGAUUCUGUCAAAGGAUAGCUGGGGUCACUAAUAUUUGAUCUGAGAUGUGUCCCUCUGAGGUCCACUUACCUAAUUAUUCCACGAACCUUUGAUAGGUGUGCAAACCCAUUGAAGCAUCGCUUAGCUUGAGGCCUGAUGAUUGAGGUCACAAUGGGACGGCAUAGAUUUGCCC